rnacentral:lncRNA from 1 species
AGCACAUCUAUGCAGUUUCUGCAGUGUGUCAAACAGCAGAAGGGAUAAGGAAGCGUAAGAAGCAGUCCUAUUCUUUCCUCCAUACCCUGAAAAUGGCUCCAAAAUAUUAUUAUUUGUGAGAAGGAAGAUUUUUAACAACAAUUUAUGCAUUUCUCAUUUUAGAUUUUGCCUUUUCCAUUUCAGGAGGCAAUGCUUUUAUAUGGAGUUUGAACAGAACCCCACCUUUACUAGACAGAGAAAUCCUAAGGUUUAUGGAACAUUUCUCUGUUCACUGAAAGAUCUAGCAAUGCUUGAUCUAUCCUGUGCAUCAACCAUUUAUACCUGGGUUUAGCUGGAGUGCAUGAAAAAUUGAUUCUACUGGAAUUGUACUGGUUGAAUUGAGUCUAUGUUUAAAACUACCUACAUGUACAUAUAACUGGGCUGGCUAGUUUGAGACCCCAGCUUGCAUCUUUAAUUGCUCAGUUAGGGCCAUCCUAAGGAUCGUUCUGGGAUAUUUAAAAAUACAAAGGAAACAUUUACUUACUGAUCAUUUUUUCCACCAACGCCAGCUUGGAGCUAGGAUUGCAGCUAUGAAGUGUUUUGACACAAGCUGCUUUGGUCUCUAGGGAGGAUAGAUAUAGGUAUAUCCUCUCUAAAGGAUAGACACAGUCCUGCAAAAGAAACAGACAGCUUCUGCUCCCUUCCUUGUUUAUGGGGACAUCUGGAAUCUCUCUGAGUUUUAUCAGAUUAAAUGCACCUCAAGGCCCUUCCUGAGCUAAUGGCCUUCAGCAGGUUACUCAGGAAAAGACAAGGAACCUAAAUAUGGAGAGAGUUCUGUCUUGGCCCUUAGAAGUUUCCUCUUCACUCAGCUCAGGUGAUUCUACACAGAAUGUGACAAAAUGAGGGGAAAAAUAGGCAAAAAUCUUCAAAGAGAUCACAUGCUCUCUCAAGUGUUUUGUCAUGCUCUUCUGUAGGGAUACAUGCCCAGCAACUUCCUUCUCAUCUGUCACCCCAAGGCCAUCCACCUCAAGACACAGGUUCUCAACAUCUUUUUUUACUGUCAACCUGGAUGUCCCUUCUGGAAUUUGGAGCUUCUGGAUAUUCUGGAAGUGGUGCAGGCUGGUCGUGGCACAGGAGAGGUGCACGCACAACACCGUCUGCACUGCUUCUAGGGCAACAUUACCCCUUUUGUCAUUGCAAAUUCACAAACAGACAGUUGCUGGGCACCAAGUUUGGAAGAGGAAGUGCUUUGUCUUUCGAUUAAAAAUAUCCAAACAGCUCCGUGGAGUCAUGAUCUGAGAAACCAAAACAAGUCCUUAACCAUAGAUAAAUGAAGGUUGGCUGAUUCCAGUUUGCAGAAAGCCAGAGGAAGCCCUCUGCUCUGACCCCGCGCCCUCUAGCAUCACAGCUGGUGCACGAGCACAAAGACAACUUGGAUGUAGAUGCUGCUGUGGGCACUUUACACAGGAUAGAUUGUAAAUUUGUCCAUUUAUGAGUGUCCUGCGGGGGUUCCCACCAACUCAGAAGACAAAGCAAGGGUUGAAGCAAACAAAGAAUAUCCAUAAAAGCUCCUCUGAUUGCCACUAUUAAUAAAAUGGAGGCCAUAAACA